ACCUGCGGCUGGAUCACCUCCUUAAUCGAAGACAUCAGCUUCUUCAUAAGCUCCCACACGAAUUGCUUGAUUCAUUGCGAAGACGAUUGGGUCUGUAGCUCAGUUGGUUAGAGCGCACCCCUGAUAAGGGUGAGGUCGGCAGUUCGAAUCUGCCCAGACCCACCAAUGUUAUGGGGCGCAGGCUUCAAGACAUUGGGGCCAUAGCUCAGCUGGGAGAGCGCCUGCUUUGCACGCAGGAGGUCAGGAGUUCGAUCCUCCUUGGCUCCACCACCACUCGUUAGAGUUCAGAAAUGAACAUUUGCAGGUUUUCUGUGGAAUGUUGAUUUCUGGUCUUUACCAGAAUCGUUCUUUAAAAAUUUGGGUAUGUGAUAGAAGUGACUGUUCGAUCAUUUUCACUGAUGAUCGGAUAGCUCAAGGUAAAAUUUGCGAAUUCAAGCGCGAAUUUUCGGCGAAUGUCGUCUUCACGUUAUAGACAGUAACCAGAUUGCUUGGGGUUAUAU
rnacentral:tRNA from 1 species